rnacentral:rRNA from 1 species
CCUACGGGUGACAGCAGUGGGGAAUAUUGGGCAAUGGGCGCAAGCCUGACCCAGCAACGCCGCGUGAAGGAAGAAGGCUUUCGGGUUGUAAACUUCUUUUCUGGGGGACGAACCAAUGACGGUACCCCGGGAAUAAGCCACGGCUAACUACGUGCCAGCCGCCGCGGUAAUACGUAGGUGGCCAGCGUUAUCCGGAUUUAUUGGGUGUAAAGGGCGUGUAGGGGGGGAUGCAAGUCAGAUGUGAAAACUCAGGGCUCAACCCUGAGCCUGCAUUUGAAACUGUGUUUCUUGAGUGCUGGAGAGGCAAUCGGAAUACCGGGUGUAGCGGUGAAAUGCGUAGAUAUACGGAGGAACACCAGUGGCGAAGGCGGAUUGCUGGACAGUAACUGACGCUGAGGCGCGAAAGCGUGGGGAGCAAACAGGAUUAGAUACCCUAGUAGUC